rnacentral:rRNA from 1 species
CGCGUAGGCGGCUUGACAAGUCACUUGUGAAAUCUCUGGGCUUAACCCAGAACGGCCAAGUGAAACUGUCAUGCUAGAGUGCAGAAGGGGCAAUCGGAAUUCUUGGUGUAGCGGUGAAAUGCGUAGAUAUCAAGAGGAACACCUGAGGUGAAGACGGGUUGCUGGGCUGACACUGACGCUGAGGCGCGAAAGCCAGGGAGCAAACG